GCCGUCGCCAUAAACAAAAGCCGGCGCCACAACAACCAGAGGCCGUCGCCAUAACAAAAAGAGGCCGUCGCCAUAACAACCGGAGGCCGUCGCCAUAACAACCGGAGGCCGUCGCCACAACAACCGGAGGCUGCAUCCAUCACAACAAUAGGCUGGUCUCUAAACAACAUGUUCUGCCCCUGUUGUCAUAGUGCCGUCCCCCCGUCCCCCCCCCCAGUCUGGCAGGGCGGGGCUCCAGUCACAGCUGAGAUCCUUUACACUGCAGAGACUCACGUUCUCUACUUUUAAAACACAACGUUGGUGCAAAUACUUCUGUCUUUAAACAUCAAAAACGAGCCAUAAAUCAGCAUCUCUAUAUCGUUAAACUGCUUCUCCACAAUACCACCGGAAGGUAUUUGUGCCAAGGCAGAGAGGAGAGCACACACACACACACACACACACACACACACACACACACACACACACACACACAGUAAGAACGUCCUUGAGUAAACAGCUACAUUGGAACUGGCAGCUCCCUCUGUAUUGCAGAUUAAACACAGAGAAAAAUAACGUUUCAGUGCAAAGUGGAAGAAAAACAACAACAUGACAAUAAAACAACGAAAUAAAACACAGAAAUGAUUGGAAUUCCAAUAACAGGGACCAUGAAUGAAAUAGACACAAGCUUUUUGUUUAGUUUUUUAGGUUUCAGUUUUGAAGCAUAAUAAGGCAUUUUUUGCUGUCCUUCACAUUAUAGAAUUGUCCUGCGUGAUUCAAGUAUACCAACUGAUAUGUGUGUUGUUUAGGAGCGGAAAAACACCGUGGAUAUAUGUGCAGGGAAAAAAACAUAACGCAUUUUCCACAGGGGGGUGACCCCCCACUUCCUGUACGUAUU
ensembl:lncRNA